rnacentral:lncRNA from 1 species
GUGGGACUGCUAGUUAUGAACAAUACAACUCAAAUCAACAAGUCUGUUAUCACUGAAAGAAACUAAGCCAUACCAUACGUAUGGGUUGGGACCUUCAUAGUAGACCUCAACAGCAUCCCCAUUUGCAAGUUUGUAACCCAGAAGAAUAAUUAUGUGCCUUCUAACAAAUCCAUACUCAUCUCGGCUGAUAAGUUUUCCCGUUUUACUGAGUUUCAGGCGUCACAAAAAUCUAC